ACUUCAACACCAUGUUGGCACUGUGGUCACUUGGCCAAAAAAGCCUUUAGCAACGUGUGGCAUCCCUGCCUAUCUAUUGAGGAUACCGUUACAUUUCGGCGACGGCCUGCUAUUUUGGUGGGAGCUGCAGUGAUUGUCAUAUUUGCGGUGUUGAUAAUUGCUCUAGCUGCUACAGCUGCUAAGACCUGUCCCAAGAUUGGCGAAACCUGUCCAGAGGACUGGCUGCAGCUCCGAAAGAAGUGCUACUUCUCUUCUAGUGAACAUGAAAGCAAGAGAAAUUGGAGUGACAGCCAGGAAUACUGCAGAUCCCAAGGGGGUGAUCUGGUUGUCAUCGAAAACAAACAGGAGCUGGUAUUCAUUCAACAAUUCAAGAACUUCUGGAUUGGUCUCCACAGGACAAAUGAAGGAUUCUUUUGGGUGACUGGAGCCCCACUGAACCAGAGCCUUCACAUUGCAAAGUGAACAUGAGUUUCUUCUCAGCUGAGAUGACCAGCAUAUUUUCCAGUAUUGUGCUCACCUAUGCCUAGUGCUGUGUAGUAGCAGUGAACCCAAGAUGAUGGAUCCCAUUGUGCCCCACCUGGAGGAGAGGGUGCUGAUGGUGCUGAUUCCUGACUGGCUGUGAGAGUGGAUGGAUGACCCAGCAACCAAUGGAAGACCAUGGAGGAUUUGUGCAAUGUGACUCCUGGGGGAGGGAAUAUGUAAAUGACCAAAGCAAAAAGACCACAUGUGUAGGCAAAAAAUGCUCAGCACCUGGACCUAUUGACCUGAUUUGUUUGGAUCCAUUCCAGCAUUUAGUACAGUGCCUGGCACACAGUAAACACUUGACAAAUACCAGAAUUAUUAUCAUUACUAUUAUUAAAGAGUUGGAAUAAAGUUGCAUGGACUGCUAUGAGCUCCUACUUGGGUGGUUUCUAUGCUACACCUCUUUGGGAGAUGGUAGAUUAUAAACUCACUGAGGACAGCUACCACGUCAACCAACUGUAUUGAACACCCAGAACACUGCACCAAGUGCUUGGGAAAGUAUAAUACACCAAAGUUUUUAUAUAUGAUCCCUCUUCACAAGGAGCUUUCAGUCUACAGAGUAGACAGAUAUAAAGAUAAAUUACAGACCUCUCCCAAGUGCUUAGUACAGUGUUCUAAGUGAUAAAGUGAGUAUUCAAUAAAGAAGACCUAAGCAGCAAAAUGAAGUAUGGACUGGAAAGGGGACAGUCAGGAGGCAGGGAGGUCAGCAAGGGAGAAGAUACAGUAGUUCAAGGCAGGAAAUAAAUACCCAGAUUCGAGUGGUAACAGUUUGGAUGGAGAAGGGCUCUUGGAAGCAUCCAGGCUAUGACCCAUCCUCUCCUGGAGAAUGACUCCAUCAUUGCUGCCACCACAGUCCUGGCUGUAUAGUGCUAAAAUCAGGACGUAGAAAAUCCAACUCAUGGUAUUGGUAUUGAGGCAGGGCAUAUAUGUAGUCAGGUGAGCUGUGGUGGAAUUCUCACAGCUCCACUCUUACUGGCUCUCCCAUUUCCUUCCCUAUUGUAACAGUUUUGUUUAUCAGGGAGGAGAGCGUGGAAAGUGAGCAGGUUGGGGAAAGUCAGACAGAUUCUCUCUCCAUCUUCCUUCCCCAAUCCCUGGGGUUUGGAAUUGCAUCUUCUGGUUCCAACAAGAUUUUGCAAUUCAGUUAAAUAAAGGCCACAGUUAUUCUCUUCAAAUUCUUCAUAGCAUGUGGGUUGGCAACUAGCUGUGCUGUAAAGCAUUUCUAAUGCAAAGUGAUCUUGGAAUGAUUUUUUAAAUGCAUCAGUAUUUUUUCUCCUUCAUGCUUAAUACUGGCCUAGUCUGUAGCUAUUUGGGUAAAAUCCACCAAAUUAAUUUCUUAAACUAGCUCCACCUUCAACAUCUGUAUCUAUUUUAAAUUACUAAAAUCAUUCAAAAUUUGAAUAUAUCAUAGCAAAAUAUAUAUAGUUCUCAAUAUCUUGAAAAGUUUUACUUAUUCUGAACUGAAUAUGGCUUAUGAACAUUCUACAAAUUUAUAGAGCAGUAUGGUGUAGUGGAAAGAGCACAGGUCUAGGCGUCAGAGGACCUGGAUUCUAAUCCUGGCUCUGCCAGGUGCCUGCAGUAUGAUGUGGGUCAAGUCACUUAAUGCAUCAGUAUUUUUUCUCCUUCAUGCUUAAUACUGGCCUAGUCUGUAGCUAUUUGGGUAAAAUCCACCAAAUUAAUUUCUUAAACUAGCUCCACCUUCAACAUCUGUAUCUAUUUUAAAUUACUAAAAUCAUUCAAAUCAUUCUUUGCCUCGGUUUCCUCACUUGUAAAAUGAAAUUCAAUGCUUGUUCUUCCUCCUACCUAGACUGCAAACCCCAUGUGGGACAAGAACUGUGUCUGACCUGAUGGACUUGCAGCUACCCCAGGAUUUAAAACAGAGGCUUCCAGAAAUUUCCACCCAUAUCUGUGAGGAUCCUGGCCUGCAGCUUAUCUUAAGGUCCCAGAUUUCAGCAUCCUUGUUGGUGCGUGGCCACAGUUCCUCUGGGGAUUGCUGCACUUUUGCUACUAGUCACUGU